rnacentral:tmRNA from 1 species
ACAAUCUAACGAAUGGACCCAUGGGCAGUUCAUGGCAUUCCCACCA